UCCUCCAAAGUUCAAAAUUGAACAUUAAUUUUGUAAAUUAAAAGAUGAUUGCUCUAAGAUCAGAAGGAA
rnacentral:tRNA from 1 species